GAUGAACGCUGGCGGCGUGCCUAAUACAUGCAAGUCGAGCGAACAGACGAGGAGCUUGCUCCUUUGACGUUAGCGGCGGACGGGUGAGUAACACGUGGAUAACCUACCUAUAAGACUGGGAUAACUUCGGGAAACCGGAGCUAAUACCGGAUAACAUGUUGAACCGCAUGGUUCAACAGUGAAAGACGGUCUUGCUGUCACUUAUAGAUGGAUCCGCGCCGCAUUAGCUAGUUGGUAAGGUAACGGCUUACCAAGGCAGCGAUGCGUAGCCGACCUGAGAGGGUGAUCGGCCACACUGGAACUGAGACACGGUCCAGACUCCUACGGGAGGCAGCAGUAGGGAAUCUUCCGCAAUGGGCGAAAGCCUGACGGAGCAACGCCGCGUGAGUGAAGAAGGUCUUCGGAUCGUAAAACUCUGUUAUUAGGGAAGAACAAAUGUGUAAGUAACUAUGCACGUCUUGACGGUACCUAAUCAGAAAGCCACGGCUAACUACGUG
rnacentral:rRNA from 1 species